CCCGUUGUUUUGCGAAUGGAGUAGUGAUCUUUUCAAUACAUCCCAGAUCCCAGCUUUUGAUUUUUUGGAGGAGUGUCUUGAUUGUUUUUAGUUUUACUGGAGAUUCUUGUGAUGGGAAGAACUACGAACUUAUUGAGUCCUGUUGGUAUCUCCGACUUUACUAUAAACUCCAAUUCAUCCUUUAGGGCUUUCCUAGCAAUUUUCAUUGGAUCAAGUUUCUCUGACUCAUUCAAAACAUGAGGAAACUCUGGAAAAAUGGACUCGACAUUCAUAAUUUACGGGUCCCUCAAAGAGUUUUGGUUACAGAAUUACAUAUAAUUGUUUCUACAAAAUAUUUUGGAAUAACGUUAAGUGACGCUAAAUCAUGCCACGAAAGUGAUCUUGUAAAUCUGGAGUGAUGAAUGCCGUAAUUAAUUUCAUUUUCUUUCUUCCAUAUUUCAGGGAUAUUUUCACUUGCACCUGUAUUCGGGAGUGCUCUCAUAUAUUGUAAGACGGGGAGUGGAGUGCUUAAUGGAUGAUGUACUAUUAACAAUUCUUGAGGCUGUUUCUACAGGGCUAGAAUUUCUCGUUGUCCUUGAGUGAGAUUUGGAUUCUGAAUCAUAAUUCUGAUCAUCUAAAAAAAAAAAAACAUGACUUGUUCUCACACAUUUUGUUACAUGUGCUGUUUCGGAAUCUACACUCGGAGCGGUGGUGGUUGUCUCUUCUGCAACUGAAACAUCUACCAUGCUGACAAGGCAUUAAUAUUAAUGUAAACCAAUGUAUCUUGGAGAACGUCUGCAGACUCCCAUGCAGUGGCUACAUUUACAAGUCAUAGCUAAUGAGUUCUCAUACUAUCGGGAGGAGCACAAGCUCCAAUCACGCAACAUGUUGUGGUUGUGGUUUUUAAUGAUAAAUUCAACUUGGUGAACUCAUAUGAACUUUGCACAAUUGUUAGUGGUUGUAAUUUUAUAUCAACAUCACGUGCUUUGCUUUUUUAAGCAACUCUUCCAUUUCGGUAUCAUAUUUCAAAACCGAAAAAAUGUAUACAUUUCAAAAUCAAAGUAAAUUAUUUAUUAAAGGUUUUUCUAACUUAAAUGUUCAGAAUAUUAUCAAACUGAUGAAUUCGUUCUUCAAAAAAAUUAAGUAUCAACUUCAGUUCCUGUUUGUACCAAAUCAUUAUACAGUAAGUUUCAUACAAAUAAUUAAUUCAUAUCAAAUAUUAUUCUUCGAUUAAUCUUUGGAUACUAAUGCCAUUAAUUCAUAAAGUCAGAAGAGUCGAGUGUAUUUGCGCAAUGAGUCAAAUGGAUUGGAGUCGUAUAAUAUAAAUGUUUGGAUUCAGAGCCAAGAUCACAAUAUAUUAUUCCAAACUGAAACUAUUAAUUAAGAAUAAUUUAUUUUUAGAUUUUUUUCAGGUUGGAUCCUGCCUUCCUAAUCUGCAGCUAUUUUAAAAUUUGUAUUUUCCAAUCAUAGACAAAUAUACAUAUCAUCUGUGCUUCAAACUUACUCCGUGAGUAAAUACAUAUGACUCUGCAGACUCCCGCCUCACUCAUCAGCCAUAAUUAUAACUUCAUGGGAAUUAAAUGUACCUAGUUCAUAAAAAUAAACAUUAUUUUCAUCCUUUUUUUUUCCUAUGGGAAUAUAGAAAAUCGAUACAGUCUCAA
rnacentral:lncRNA from 1 species